GUCGGGUGUGGUGGUUCUGCCUGUAGUCCCAGCUAUUUGGAAGGCUGAGGCAGGAGGGUCACUUGAACCCACAGAUCCCGGGCUGUAUUGUGCUAUGCCGAUCAGGUGUCUGCACUAAGUUUAGUAACAAUAUGGUAACCUCCCUAAGUGGGGGACCACCAGGAUGCAGGGAGGGGUGAAUUGGCCCAGGUUAGAAACAGAGCACAUCAAAACUCUGUUGCUGAUCAGUAGUGAGAUCGCAUUUGCCAAUAGCUACUGUACUCCAGCCUGGCAACACAGUGAGCCCUGUCUCUA
rfam:Otolemur garnettii contig037939, whole genome shotgun sequence.